UAGGGAAUAUUGGACAAUGGGUGAGAGCCUGAUCCAGCCAUGCCGCGUGCAGGAAGAAGGCGUUAUGCGUUGUAAACUGCUUUUUGCCGGGGGAUAAAAGGCCCCUGCGGGGGACAUUGAAGGUACCCGGUGAAUAAGCCACGGCUAACUACGUGCCAGCAGCCGCGGUAAUACGUAGGUGGCAAGCGUUGUCCGGAUUUAUUGGGUUUAAAGGGUGCGUAGGCGGCCCCGUAAGUCAGUGGUGAAAUACGGCAGCUCAACUGUCGAGGUGCCAUUGAUACUGCGGGGCUUGAGUAUGGACGAGGUAAGCGGAAUUGACGGUGUAGCGGUGAAAUGCUUAGAUAUCGUCAAGAACACCGAUAGCGAAGGCAGCUUACUAGGCCAUAACUGACGCUGAGGCACGAAGGUGCGGGGAUCAAACAGGAUUAGAUACCCACGUAGUCCCUGAGCGGGCUGGCAAGGCGCAU
rnacentral:rRNA from 1 species